rnacentral:rRNA from 1 species
AUGGAGGUGAGGAAGAAGAAAGGCAACAACAGCAAGGGGAAGAAGAAGAAGGAAGGCAGCAGGGGCGUGGGGAUCAACAGGGAGGCGCAAGGAGAAGGAGCAAAAGGGAAUAGGAGCAGCAGUAAGGAGAUUCAGAGACGAGGGAAGGAGGAGCAGCACCAGGGGCGCAAGACAAGCAGCAGGGAGGUGGAUGUAGGCGCGGCGGCGGAGCUCGAGAUGGUGGUGGCUGGCGGCAUAGUGGAGAUGGGGCGAUACUGGUGGUGCGUGGAGAGGGAGUGGAUGGAUGAUUGGGUGGCGCAGUGGCUGGUUGGCGCGCCGCCACGCUGGCCUGGCCGCGGCGGCGGCCGGAGGUGGAGAAGGAAGCGGGGUAGAGAGGAGAUGGAGAUGCUAGGCCUAAUUGGGAAUCAGGGCGUCUAG